rnacentral:rRNA from 1 species
CCUACGGGUGGCAGCAGUGGGGAAUAUUGGGCAAUGGGCGCAAGCCUGACCCAGCAACGCCGCGUGAAGGAAGAAGGCUCUCUGGUUGGAAACUUCUUUUAUCAGGGACGAAACAAAUGACGGUAACUGAUGAAUAAGCCACGGCUAAAUACGUGCCAGCAGCCGCGGUAAUACGUCGGUGGCAAGCGUUAUCCGGAUUUACGGGGUGUAAAGAGGGUGUAGGCGGGCUUGGAAGUCAGAUGUGAAAGUCCAGGGCUCAACCCUGGAACUGCAGUUGAAACUGUAGGUCUUGAGUGCUGGAGAGGCAAGCGGAAUUCCGUGUGUAGCGGUGAAAUGCGUAGAUAUACGGAGGAACACCAGUGGCGAAGGCGGAUUGCUGGACAGUAACUGACGCUGAGGCGCGAAAGCGUGGGGAGCAAACAGGAUUAGAUACCCGAGUAGUC